CCUCACCAACAUGGCGACGCGAGGGAGACGGAGGCCCGUCAGGGCGGACCGACGGGAGCAACCUCGCUAGGAGUCGCAGCCGCCAUCUUGCUUGUUAUUCAACAUGUUUCUACAUAUCUGCUAAGGAACUCAAACACUGCAUUGCUAUUAACUCUAGAGAGAGGAUAUAUGAUUGGUGUGAUCACAUAAGAUCUACAUUAUCCUCCAGCCACCAAGGAAUUGAAGAUCGGGUCCUAUUUAUAUGUCCUAGUGCACGUAUGGAACUGAGGAUCUCAGCCAGUUCUGAGGCCAGAGAGAAUCAUAUUUUGCUAGGGAGCUGUGCUGCUGAACACUGAUGUGUCUUGGGCCAGAUACUGCCACCCUUACUCAUGCUAAGUAAUACCUGACUCUGUAAGUACGACAGCUGAUGAUAAUAUACUACACUAGGCCAGGUUUUGCCAUCAGUGUAGCAUUUGGGCCUGAUCCUUUAUGCUUCAAGCAAUAAGCAUGGCAUUAUAUAGCCUUAAAGGGUGGUCGCUUUCUUCCUUGUAUAAAACAAACCCAUUGAAACCAUUUCCAAUCCUUUCUCUUUUGCUGUGUCUGACUUCACUGGUUCAACACAACAUGUAUGGAACACGCGUCUGACAAAAAUGCCUGACUGUCCUAUGUAGCUACAGUGUCAACCAAGUUAACAGUGUUGUUUGUUUAAAAGACCGCUGUCCUUGUACUGUGCUUAGUGUGGGGGAAAAUGAAAUGUACCGUUUGUUGGAAUCAUACAACUGGCUAAGCCAUAUCACUUUAUACACAUCUCUUUAAUAAAAGACAAUUGGCCAAA